GGGAGAAGAAAAUCAAAGCUUCUUGGAAGAGUUGGAGAGAACAGUUGCUUUACUUGCUUUUGAAGAUGUUUCCAACUGUCCUGUGCGAGACCUUCUGGACAUCUCUCAGCGCUUGAAGACAGCAAGUGAAGUUAAUGCAGCCAUUUUAACAAGUCAAAGUCAUGAAAAAGAUCCGAAACUGCCAAGCUUGUUGAAGAUGUUAAUGUGGGCACAGGACCAACUCGAUGAGAAAGCUGCUUAUCCUCGCAUAAACGAUUUAUCCACAGCUAUGCUUGAAGAUCCUCCUGUUUGAUAUAUGUCAUCUC
rnacentral:misc_RNA from 1 species